AGAGGGGGCAUGAACAUCACAGAGUGCUGAAACUGCAGCAGCAGCCUAAACUGCCAGCACUGUGCCCAGUCCAUGCCCCUCUCCGGCAGACCUUUGCUGCAAUAUCUGGCACCCUGCACCCGACAAGACCAUUGCCGGGGGACCCAGGGCAGAGGAAGGAGUAUGCUCCCCUCCGACCGUCCCUAAGGAGUAGACACAGAGCCCGUCUACAUUGCAACAAGAAUUCUUCCUCUUGCAUCCCAGGGAGGUAGCAACAGCAGCAGCUCAGCCAACAGCAGGAUACACAUCGCCUUCAUCAUCGCAAGCUGGACCAGCGUGCUGAUAGGAGCUCACCCGGACUGGGGGACGCCGGAGCGUCUGGCUGGCGCGAGCGAAAGGGGGCCGCCUGCGUUCGGAGACCGGUAAGGCGAUGGUUACAUGCCAUGCCAAGGCGAAGGAGCACAAGCAGCAGCACAGGAAAGGCUCAUGAGCAUUUGGCGGGGAACGGGCUGCUCGGCGGCGAGGUGGGGUGAAGGCGCAAGCUAUGCAGCGAGGUUGACUGAGGACGAAAGGAA